AGGAGGAACAACCACAGUGGCGGCGGCCAGCUCUGGAUCCCUGGAUUCAGCUCCCGCAGGAACUACGGAGCUCUUGGUCUGCAGGGCCUGGAGGCUCCGGGGCGGG
rnacentral:pre_miRNA from 1 species